UAAUUGAAGAGUUUGAUCAUGGCUCAGAUUGAACGCUGGCGGUAGGCUUAACACAUGCAAGUCGUGCGAGAAAGUAUCUUCGGAUAUGAGUAGAGCGGCGGACGGGUGAGUAACGCGUAGGAAUCUACCUAGUAGAAGGGGAUAGCCCGAGGAAACUCGGAUUAAUACCGUAUACCUCCUUAGGGAGAAAGAGGGCCUCUCUUGAUGCUCUCGCUAUUAGAUGAGCCUGCGUAAGAUUAGCUUGUUGGUGAGGUAAUGGCUCACCAAGGCUACGAUCUUUAGCUGGUCUGAGAGGACGAUCAGCCACAUUGGGACUGAGACACGGCCCAGACUCCUACGGGAGGCAGCAGUGGGGAAUAUUGGA
rnacentral:rRNA from 1 species